CCUGGUUGAUCCUGCCAGUAGUCAUAUGCUUGUCUCAAAGAUUAAGCCAUGCAUGUCUAAGUACAAGCCGAUUUAAGGCGAAACCGCGAAUGGCUCAUUAAAUCAGCUAUGAUUCAUUGGAUCUGUACCCACACUUACUUGGAUAACUGUGGUAAUUCUAGAGCUAAUACAUGCACCACGUCUCUGACCGCAAGGGAAGAGCGCUUUUAUUAGUUCAAAACCGGUCGGGCCUCGGUCCGUCACCCCACCGUGUUGAAUCUGAAUAACUUGUCGCUGAGCGCACGGUCUCCGCACCGGCGCCGCCUCUUUCAAGUGUCUGCCUUAUCAGCUUUCGAUUGUAGGUUAUGCGCCUACAAUGGCUAUAACGGGUAACGGGGAAUCAGGGUCGAUUCCGGAGAGGGAGCCUGAGAAACGGCUACCACAUCUAAGGAAGGCAGCAGGCACGCAAAUUACCCACUCCCGGCACGGGGAGGUAGUGACGAAAAAUAACGAUGCGAGACUCAUCGAGGCCUCGCAAUCGGAAUGAGUACACUUUAAAUCCUUUAACGAGGAUCUAUUGGAGGGCAAGUCUGGUGCCAGCAGCCGCGGUAAUUCCAGCUCCAAUAGCGUAUAUUAAAGUUGUUGCGGUUAAAAAGCUCGUAGUUGGAUUUCAGUUCUGGACUGACGGUUCACCGCCCGGUGCAUACUGUCACGCUCCGAACAGCCACAACAGCCCGCUGGCUCGCACGGGGUGCUCUUCAUCGAGUGUCCCGCGUGGCCGGCAGAGUUUACUUUGAAAAAAUUAGAGUGCUCAAAGCAGGCUACACUUACGGCCUGAAUGCCUAUGCAUGGAAUAAUGGAAUAGGACUCGGUUCUAUUUGUCGGUUUUCUGAACCCGAGGUAAUGACUAAUAGGAACAGGCGGGGCAUUCGUAUUGACGCUAGAGGUGAAAUUCUUGACCGUCGCAAAGACGAACUACUGCGAAAGCAUUUGCCAAGGAUGUUUUCAUUAAUCAAGAACGAAAGUUAGAGGUUCGAAGGCGAUCAGAUACCGCCCUAGUUCUAACCAUAAACGAUGCUGACCAGCGAUCCGCCGGCCGUUAUUCCCAUGACCCGGCGGGCAGCUUCCGGGAAACCAAAGUCUUUGGGUUCCGGGGAAGUAUGGUUGCAAAGCUGAAACUUAAAGGAAACGGAAGGGCACCCCAGGAGCGGCUUAUUGCGGAACCUCACCAGGCCAGACACCGAACGGAAGAUUGAGAGCUCUUUUCGAUUCGCUCGUGGGUGGUGGUGCAUGGCCGUUCUUAGUUGGUGGAGCGAUUUGUCUGGUUAAUUCCGAUAACGAACGAGACACUCUGGCCUACUAACUAGUCGACGGAUCUCCAGCAAUUGGUGUCCAGUUCGCAGCUUCUUCUUAGCAGGGAUAGCCGCAACUUUAUUGCCAAUAAACAUAACAGGUCUGAUGCCCUUAGUGUUCUGGGCCGCACGCGCGCUACACUGAAGGGAUCAACGUGUCCUCCCCCGAGAGGAGCGGGGGUAACCGUUGAAAUCCUUUGAUUGGGGUUUGCAAUUGUCUCCCAUGAACGGAAUUCCCAGCGCAAGUCAUGAGCAUUUACGUUUGCCCCGCUACUACGUCGCUACCGAUUAAUGAUUUCGGACUGGCGCUCUUGGAUGCCGGGCACGCGGUUCCGCCGCUGGGCUUUCGGCGCCUCGAGCUGACGGAAAGAUGUCCAAACUUGAUCAUUUAGAGGAAGUAAAAGUCGUAACAAGGUUUCCGUAGGUGAACCUGCGGAAG
rnacentral:rRNA from 1 species